CCCACCCUUCCCAAAACUUUCACCCCCUUCCCGAUACUUCCCCCCCUUUUUCUCACUCUCUCUGUUGUUCUCGACUGCGAUUGUCGACUCCGGUGCUAUUGUCACCACUAUCUCGCCGCCUCGCCGAUGCCGGUGAGCUUGUAUUUCAGAUUUUUGGUCUCCAUCCAUCUCUCUCUCUCUCUCUCUCUCUCUCUCUCUCUCGUCUUCGCAAAGUGGUUUCCGAUUGCCAGUGCCGCCAUCUUCUCUCCAACCCCAAUAGAUACAGCAGAAAAGGAGGGACCUGCUAGUCUGCUCCUGACCCUACAUGUGCAUGAUAGACAAGGAAGUAAAUCAACCUUCCAAAAAUGGACAAAAGUAAUUCAAGAAAAGAAGAAAUACCCACCAUUUUUUUAAUCCUUUUGGUGUUUGUGUAGCUUUGGUUUGUUAAGUUCUUCAUUGAGGGCCACAACUUCUAUAUCUAUCAGUCAUGGGGGUUGGAGAAUAAGUUACUGUGUACGACUACUUUUUUAGGAUAACAGAUGAACCUGGAAAUCAAUAAGGAGACUUGUGCUCACUAAAACCAGUUUGAGAUACUGAAUUUUCAGAAAGUUGUAGGUUUAGAACAUAUACUGCCCUUUAAAAUGUAUUGUUCAUGAGAGGUACAACAUACAAGCACAUUAGCUGCAACCAUAUAAUUUGUUGGUCCAACAAAUUCUGCCUUUACAAUUUUGCUUUGUGAACUCAGAAAAGGAUUCCAUCCUUGAAGAAUUUGAUUGAAAAGCAAGGUUGUGA